rnacentral:rRNA from 1 species
CAGUCGCCGCGGGAAUCCGAAGGGGGCUAGCGUUGUUCGGAUUUACUGGGCGUAAAGCGCACGUAGGUGGACUUUUAAGUCAGGGGUGAAAUCCCGGGGCUCAACCCCGGAACUGCCUUUGAUACUGGAAGUCUUGAGUAUGGUAGAGGUGAGUGGAAUUCCGAGUGUAGAGGUGAAAUUCGUAGAUAUUCGGAGGAACACCAGUGGCGAAGGCGGCUCACUGGACCAUUACUGACGCUGAGGUGCGAAAGCGUGGGGAGCAAACAGGAUUAGAUCCCGUGUAGUCCCUGUCUCUUAUACA